rnacentral:rRNA from 1 species
GACGAACGCUGGCGGCGUGCUUAACACAUGCAAGUCGAACGGAAAGGCCCUGCUUUUGUGGGGUGCUCGAGUGGCGAACGGGUGAGUAACACGUGAGUAACCUGCCCCUGUCUUUGGGAUAACUUCAGGAAACUGGGGCUAAUACCCCAUAGGAGCUCCUGCUGCAUGGUGGGGGUUGGAAAGUUUCGGCGGUUGGGGAUGGACUCGCGGCUUAUCAGCUUGUUGGUGGGGUAGUGGCUUACCAAGGCUUUGACGGGUAGCCGGCCUGAGAGGGUGACCGGCCACAUUGGGACUGAGAUACGGCCCAGACUCCUACGGGAGGCAGCAGUGGGGAAUAUUGCACAAUGGGCGGAAGCCUGAUGCAGCAACGCCGCGUGCGGGAUGACGGCCUUCGGGUUGUAAACCGCUUUCGCCUGUGACGAAGCGUGAGUGACGGUAAUGGGUAAAGAAGCACCGGCUAACUACGUG